rnacentral:rRNA from 1 species
GCGUGAGUGAAGAAGGCCUUAGGGUUGUAAAGCUCUUUCAACGGUGAAGAUGAUGACUGUAGCCGUAGAAGAAGCCCCGGCUAACUCCGUGCCAGCAGCCGCGGUAAUACGGAGGGGGCAAGCGUUGUUCGGAAUUACUGGGCGUAAAGGGCGUGUAGGCGGCCAAGCAAGUCAGAGGUGAAAGCCCUGGGCUCAACCUGGGAACUGCCUUUGAAACUGUUUGGCUUGAGACCGGAAGAGGAUGGCGGAAUUCCCAGUGUAGAGGUGAAAUUCGU